UGUGUGCAUUAACUCAAUUUGCCUUUGGAUUCCUAAGCAAACGUUGUCCACUCUGUUCAUAACAGAUUGUAGUUUGAGGAACAGAAAACUGUAUUGAGAUAAAAUGUUUAAUGCAUGAGAAAAUUUGCCGAAUUUCGGCCAAAACCCAUAUCGUUCCAUCUUCUCUCACUCUCUGCCAGUGGGCUUUCCCCUCACUACCAUAUAUAUACAUCCAAUGAAAUAUCUGUCGCAUUGUUCUGUCUGUGAUGUCGCAUUUGCUCUGUUGCAGUGGUGGAACAGGACGUUCCGGGAAGGCGCCAGAACUGUGUGGUGGAGACGAUAUAUUUUGUGUCAGUUUCACAUGUAUUACUACAGGUCAAGUCUGAGGUCGGUAACAUCAACAGUGAGGACAAGCCCAGCCUGCCUCUCUCCUUCCACACUGAGUCCAAACCUACAGUCACUGGGUCCUGAUUGUGACAGUGGAGCCCAGUUUGCACUGGAGGAUGCAGAGAUGACAUCAGUGAAGCUGGAAGACUGCAGUCAAACACUGGAGCUGAAUGUCAACAUUAAAGAUGAAGAAGAGGAGGAGAAGAUUGGGAAAUCUGUUUAUGAUGGCCGACUCAGAUCAAGUCUGAGGCCGGUAACAUCAACAGUGAGGACAAACCCAGCCUGCCUCUCUCCUUCCACACGGAGUCCAAACCUACAGUCACUGGGUCCUGAUUGUGACAGUGGGGCCCAGUUUGCACUGCAGGAUCCAGAGAUGGCAUCAGUAAAGCUGGAAGACUGCAGUCAAACACUGGAGCUGAAUGU